rnacentral:rRNA from 1 species
UACGUAGGGCGCAAGCGUUGUCCGGAAUUAUUGGGCGUAAAGAGCUCGUAGGCGGCCUGUUACGUCUGCUGUGAAAUCCCGGGGCUUAACCCCGGGCGUGCAGUGGAUACGGGCAGGCUGGAGGCAGGCAGGGGAGAACGGAAUUCCCGGUGUAGCGGUGAAAUGCGCAGAUAUCGGGAGGAACACCGGUGGCGAAGGCAGCUCUCUGGGACGGUACUGACGCUGAGACGCGAAAGCGUGGGGAGCGAACAGG